AACGAACGCUGGCGGCAGGCUUAACACAUGCAAGUCGAACGCCCCGCAAGGGGAGUGGCAGACGGGUGAGUAACGCGUGGGAAUCUACCCAGUUCUUCGGAAUAACUGAGGGAAACUUCAGCUAAUACCGGAUACGCCCCAAGGGGGAAAGAUUUAUCGGAAUUGGAUGAGCCCGCGUCAGAUUAGCUAGUUGGUGGGAUAAUGGCCUACCAAGGCGACGAUCUGUAGCUGGUCUGAGAGGAUGAUCAGCCACACUGGGACUGAGACACGGCCCAGACUCCUACGGGAGGCAGCAGUGGGGAAUAUUGGACAAUGGGCGCAAGCCUGAUCCAGCCAUGCCGCGUGAGUGAUGAAGGCCUUAGGGUUGUAAAGCUCUUUCAGUGGGGAAGAUAAUGACGGUACCCACAGAAGAAGCCCCGGCUAACUUCGUGCCAGCAGCCGCCGUAACAC
rnacentral:rRNA from 1 species